GGACCGCAGGCGAGAGGGAGAAGGAAGGGCGCCCGGGGAGCAGGCUGGCAGAGUGACCGGGAUUGAUGAGCGGCGCAGCUCUGGAGGGACGCGGGCGAGAGGGUCGCUCCUCGGGGAGAGGGCUGGUUUUGCCUUUUCCGGAAUGCCAUAUAUAAGGAAUCAUACAGUAUGCAGUCUUUCUUUCAAUUUUGCUGUGAAACUAAAACUGCUAAGAAAAUAAAGUCUUAAAAAGAAAAAUCAAUGGAGAAGGGAAAGCUCUACCACCCUCUGAUUUUUUUUAACAGCCUAUGAUAAGAGGAGAUGAAUGCCUGCUAAAGCGACCAGAAGGCUCUCAGUAAAAAGUAUUCACUAGGUAUCAAUAGAAUCUGCAAAACGAAGAGGUGCUUGAAAGAUGUGAAAGAGGAAACUUAAAGAGAAACCCAGAUGGUACAUCUCUCUUCCUGGCUAGAUAGAUGGAAUGUACAGCCAGAGGAUUGGAUGAGGUCAUCGACGGAGAGAAUGCAGAGAGAAUCCUGGGGCUCACCAACAUGAAGAAUUUGGGACAAGAAAGAAGAUCCAGCAGAGAAGACUGAAAGAAGGCAACUAAUGAAAUAGGAGAGAACCUGGAGAGCACAGAGUCUUAGAGGCCAAGAAAGUGGUUUAAUAUAAUCCGUAUCAAAGCAUUUGUGGUUUAUUUUUGUUAACUGACAAAAGGAUUCUAAAACAUACCUGAAAAGUAUAAUUCACACCUAGGAUAAUGGAUCAUUCUGUCACAUUGUUCCUUUUUCACAGCUGAUAUGAACAUGAUAUUUUCAUGACUUUGUAAAAUAAAAAUGGAAUCUUUCUAAUUUUUUUAAAAAAACUGCUUACUUAUGCAAGCCUUCUGUCUCUCACUGUAUAACCCCUCCACUUUUAUACGGGUCACACAUGUUUCUGUCACUUUCCUGGAGCCCUUGUAGCAAAUUAAUAACAUGUAGCACAUGCUUGAAGAAAAAUUUGUCUAGGACAUUUUGUUUUUGAGAUUCAUAAAUUGACUCUAUUUUACAUAAGAAUCUAUUAUGCCAUAGGAAGCUUAUUAAACCCUUGAGCAGGAACAAAUUAUUCAAUAAAUGGUGAUGAGAUGAAUGCCU
rnacentral:lncRNA from 1 species